rnacentral:rRNA from 1 species
GUGGGGAAUCUUGCGCAAUGGGCGAAAGCCUGACGCAGCCAUGCCGCGUGAAUGAUGAAGGUCUUAGGAUUGUAAAAUUCUUUCACCGGGGACGAUAAUGACGGUACCCGGAGAAGAAGCUCCGGCUAACUUCGUGCCAGCAGCCGCGGUAAUACGAAGGGGGCUAGCGUUGCUCGGAAUUACUGGGCGUAAAGGGCGCGUAGGCGGACAGCUUAGUCAGAGGUGAAAGCCCAGGGCUCAACCUUGGAAUUGCCUUUGAUACUGGCUGUCUUGAGUUUGGGAGAGGUGAGUGGAACUCCGAGUGUAGAGGUGAAAUUCGUAGAUAUUCGGAAGAACACCAGUGGCGAAGGCGACACACUGGCUCAUUACUGACGCUGAGGCGCGAAAGCGUGGGGAGCAAACAGGAUUAGAAACCCCAGUAGUCC